rnacentral:rRNA from 1 species
GAUGAACGCUGGCGGCGUGCUUAACACAUGCAAGUCGAGCGAGAAAAGUUCUUCGGAGCUUUUCUAGCGGCGGACGGGUGAGUAACACGUGGGCAACCUGCCUCAUAGAGGGGAAUAGCCUUCCGAAAGGAAGAUUAAUACCGCAUAACAUUGUUGAAAGGCAUCUUUUAACAAUCAAAGGAGCAAUCCGCUAUGAGAUGGGCCCGCGGCGCAUUAGCUAGUUGGUGAGGUAACGGCUCACCAAGGCGACGAUGCGUAGCCGACCUGAGAGGGUGAUCGGCCACAUUGGAACUGAGACCCGGUCCAGACUCCUACGGGAGGCAGCAGUGGGGAAUAUUGCACAAUGGGGGAAACCCUGAUGCAGCAACGCCGCGUGAGUGAUGAAGGUCUUCGGAUUGUAAAGCUCUGUCUUUAGGGACGAUAAUGACGGUACCUAAGGAGGAAGCCACGGCUAACUACGUGCCAGCAGCCGCGGUAAAAC